UUGAUGCACACUUGCUUUUCUUGAACCACACAUGAAAUCUGGCUGAUCAACUGAAUCUACCACAAGCUCAGGGUUUGCUGAUUCUAACUCGAAUAUGACCUACACAGUGGUGAACCAAACCACUUAAGGAAGAAAAUUUCAUUGAAAUUGGAAACUACAGGCAUUUUUCGAAAUUACAGAAUGAAUACACCAAUUCGGAUUAUGGAGACAUCUCAUACCAAAACAUUUUCCCCAUGCCGAAGGAUUGGAG
rnacentral:lncRNA from 1 species